rnacentral:rRNA from 1 species
UACGGAGGGGGCUAGCGUUGUUCGGAAUUACUGGGCGUAAAGCGCACGUAGGCGGCUUUGUAAGUUAGAGGUGAAAGCCCGGGGCUCAACUCCGGAAUUGCCUUUGAGACUGCAUCGCUUGAAUCCAGGAGAGGUGAGUGGAAUUCCGAGUGUAGAGGUGAAAUUCGUAGAUAUUCGGAAGAACACCAGUGGCGAAGGCGGCUCACUGGACUGGUAUUGACGCUGAGGUGCGAAAGCGUGGGGAGCAAACAGG